CUACAAUUCUAGCCGAUCAAUUUCUAUCACAGAGCAAGUAAGUUUCUACUCCUUUUUACCUGUGAGUUUCGGUCCAUGAUCAUGCAAAGAAACUAUUUUGCAUGUAUCAAUUGGUCUUCUUCCUUUGUUCUUGGUUGAUCUAUUGUUCUAAGGACUCUGUCCAUUUCUAAUUUGGUGUUUCGUAGGUCCGUUUAGAGUUCUUUGCGUUUCAAGCAAUCGGCAGAACGUUGCUUGAGUUGAGUAGUUGUAAGCUAGAACUUGUUUUAGAUUAUUGUGUUGAUCUAAAUUUAAUAUAUAUCUAUGUAGGAAAGUGAAUUGGAUGUAUUUGUAUUGGUGUGAUAUGUUUAGAUUGUUUUAUUGUUAUAAUUAUGUGUUUGGAGGUUGUAUUGUGGUUUGAAAUUUGAUCUUAAAGUGAGUGGAGUAAUUGAGAGUGAAUUAUUUGAGUUUCAAGCUUAAAAUGGAGGUUUUGAUAAGUAUUUUGGUGAGAUUGUGGUUGGAUGGAGAAAUCUGGUAUGGCAAGUUUGUUUAUAUGUCAAUUGAGGUUUGUUAGCACAAUGAGUCGAUAUAAAUCUGAUAGGGAAAUUGGUAUGGGUCAAUGCAUGUUAAGAUGUUUAGGAUUAUUGAUUAAAUUAUAUAUGAUUCUUAUAUGAAAUGAUUUAAACUUUUGAUGUAUUGCUUGUGUAUCUAGCUUACCUUUUCUUUUUUAUCAUUUGUUGUAUGUUAUUUUCUCUUUUGCGAUGAUCACCUAAUGGUGUGAACAUAGAGAGUCACCUUUUCAAUUGUUCCAACAAGAGGCUAGGGUGGAGCAACGGCUUAGUUAGAUGAAUUCUACAUAUGUAGAUUUCUUCUUGGUAGGUUUGUUUUAUCUGGUUGAUCUAUUAUCGUAUAUGUUGUUUUCUCUUUUGCGAUGAUCGCCUAAUGAUGUGAGCUUAGAGUCACCUUUUCAAUUGUUCCAGGAAGAGGUGAGGGUGAAGCAGAGGCAUAGUUAGAUGAAUUUUACAGAUGUAGAUUUCUUCCUCUUAGUAGGUUUGUUUUAUCUGGUUGAUCUAUUAUCAUAUAUGUAGUGUUUUAUUUUAGUAAUUUUAUACUAUUAAAAAUGGGAUGUUACAACUAGUUUUUGCAAGUUUGAAACUGCUUGACCAUAAUUUUUCCACCAUUGAGCUAUAAAAUCAAAAUCAACUUCAAAAAUAAACACUAUAACUUAAAGCAAUUCAGAACUACUCACAAUAACUUCUAUGAAAGUGUGAGUGUUUCACUAGGAGUUAUGGUUGUCCUAUUUUCUUUGGCAAAGUCAUCGGUAUAGAAUCCACUUCAAAUGAAUGGGGCAAAAAGAUCUAACAAUCACAUUUAUCAUAUCCUGAAAGCUCUUCAAUCUAACAAGGUUAAAUGACAGGCAUGUUUGGGACCAAAAAGAAGGUCACGUGCCUCAUCCAUAUUAGCUUGUCUUAGUUUAUCUUUUGUAUUGCAACACUUGGAUUUCUACAAAACAUAUCAAUCGCCCUUUUUUACCACCACUCUUUCUCCCCUUAACAUUACUAGCCAUAGAAAUUUCAACUUCAUCUUCGCUCUCAUUAUCACCAUCAGCCGCAUUAUUUAUAGAAUUUAUACAGGUGACUCUAUCACUAAAUAACUUCUAAAGGUCUUCUUUCACUUUUGCUGGAAUCUUGGUGCAAGAUGUGAAAUUGUCCUUUGUCAUGUUAUUUGGAUCUAGUAAUUCCCUCUUUC
rnacentral:lncRNA from 1 species